rnacentral:rRNA from 1 species
AGAGUUUGAUCCUGGCUCAGGAUAAACGCUGGCGGCGUGCCUAACACAUGCAAGUCGAACGUCCUCGGGUAACCGAGGGAGUGGCGGACGGGUGAGGAACACGUGAGUACCUGCCCUUCAGUGAGGAAUACCGGCGAGAAAUCGCCGACAAGACCGCAUACGCUUCGCAAGAAGCAAAGCUCGCAAGAGCGCUGAAGGAU